rnacentral:tRNA from 1 species
GGGGAUACAGCUCAGUGGCACAGCGUCUGCCUGGUAAGCAUGAGGUCCUGAGUUUGAAUCCUGGUACCUUCC